GGGGGAUAUUGCGCAAUGGGGGCAACCCUGACGCAGCAACGCCGCGUGAAGGAUGAAGGUUUUCGGAUUGUAAACUUCUUUUAUUAAGGACGAAAAAUGACGGUACUUAAUGAAUAAGCUCCGGCUAACUACGUGCCAGCAGCCGCGGUAAUACGUAGGGAGCAAGCGUUGUCCGGAUUUACUGGGUGUAAAGGGUGCGUAGGCGGCUUUGCAAGUCAGAUGUGAAAUCUAUGGGCUCAACCCAUAAACUGCAUUUGAAACUGUAGAGCUUGAGUGAAGUAGAGGCAGGCGGAAUUCCCCGUGUAGCGGUGAAAUGCGUAGAGAUGGGGAGGAACACCAGUGGCGAAGGCGGCCUGCUGGGCUUUAACUGACGCUGAGGCACGAAAGCGUGGGUAGCAAACAGGAUUAGAUACCCUGGUAGUCCACGCUGUAAACGAUGAUUACUAGGUGUGGGGGGUCUGACCCCUUCCGUGCCGGAGUUAACACAAUAAGUAAUCCACCUGGGGAGUACGGCCGCAAGGUUGAAACUCAAAGGAAUUGACGGGGGCCCGCAUAAGCAGUGGAGUAUGUGGUUUAAUUCGAAGCAACGCGAAGAACCUUACCAGGUCUUGACAUCCAACUAACGAAGUAGAGAUACAUUAGGUGCCCUUCGGGGAAAGUUGAGACAGGUGGUGCAUGGUUGUCGUCAGCUCGUGUCGUGAGAUGUUGGGUUAAGUCCCGCAACGAGCGCAACCCUUGCUAUUAGUUGCUACGCAAGAGCACUCUAAUAGGACUGCCGUUGACAAAACGGAGGAAGGUGGGGACGACGUCAAAUCAUCAUGCCCCUUAUGACCUGGGCUACACACGUACUACAAUGGAUGUUAACAGAGGGAAGCAAGACAGCGAUGUGGAGCAAACCCCUAAAAACAUUCUCAGUUCAGAUUGCAGGCUGCAACCCGCCUGCAUGAAGAUGGAAUUGCUAGUAAUCGCGGAUCAGCAUGCCGCGGUGAAUACGUUCCCG
rnacentral:rRNA from 1 species